CCUACGGGUGGCAGCAGUAGGGAAUCUUCCACAAUGGGCGAAAGCCUGAUGGAGCAACGCCGCGUGGGUGAAGAAGGUCCUCGGAUCGUAAAACCCUGUUGUUAGAGAAGAAAGUGCGUGAGAGUAACUGUUCACGUUUCGACGGCGUCUAACAAGAAAGCGACGGCUAACUACGUGCCAGCAGCCGCGGUAAUACGUAGGUGGCAAGCGUUAUCCGGAUUUAUUGGGGUUAAAGGGAGCGCAGGCGGUCUUUUAAGUCUGAUGUGAAAGCCUGCGGCUUAACCGGAGUAGUGCAUGGGAAACUGGGAGCCUUGAGUGCAGAAGAGGAUGGUGGAACUCCAGGUGUAGCGGUGAAAUGCGUAGAUAUAUGGAAGAACACCAGUGGCGAAGGCGGCUCUCUGGGGUGUAACUGACGCUGAGGUUCGAAAGCGUGGGUAGCAAACAGGAUUAGAUACCCUUGUAGUC
rnacentral:rRNA from 1 species